rnacentral:rRNA from 1 species
UUAAGAAGUUUAACAGAGGUAGAGCUACUGAUUGGGCUAGGGGGCUUCACCGCCUACCAAACCCUGACAAACUCCGAAUGCUAGUAAAUAUCUCCGGGAGUGAGGCUGUGGGCGCUAAGGUCCAUGGCCGAGAGGGAAAUAACCCAGAUUAGCAACUAAGGUCCCUAAUACGUAGUUAAGUUGAUCAAACGAGGUGGAGUUUCUAUAACAGCCAGGAUGUUGGCUUGGAAGCAGCCAUUCAUUUAAAGAGUGCGUAACAGCUCACUGGUCGAGAGACUCUGCACGGAAAAUAAUCGGGCAUCAAACUACGAACCGAAGUUCUAAACACCACGCAUAAGCGUGGUUGUGGUAGGGGAGCAUUGAAACAACAUUGAAGGUGUGUGGCGACGCAUGCUGGAGUGGUUUCAAAAGAAAAUGUAGGCAUAAGUAACGAUAAUUAAUGUGAAAAACAUUAACGCCGUAAACCCAAGGUUUCCUGAUCAAUGUUAAUCAGAUCAGGGUUAGUCGGGUCCUUAGGCAAACCCGAAAGGGGUAGUCGAUGGCAAGUCAGUUAAUAUUCUGACACCUGCUUAUACUUCGAUGGGGUGACGAGGUAGUGACAAGUCCGCGUUCUUACGGAAUAGAACGUUAAAGGGUGUAGAUAUUGGUUGUGCAGGCAAAUCCGCACGAUUAGUCGAACCUGAUAGUACAGCAAAGCUUCGGCCUAGUUGAUAGUGACUGUAAUCAUACUUCCGAGAAAAACCUCUAAGUUAUGGUAUAAGGAGCCCGUACCGCAAACCGACACAGGUGGGUGGGAUGAAUAUUCUAAGGCGCUCGGGUGAGCCGUGGAGAAGGAACUAGGCAAAUUGACGCUGUAACUUCGGGAUAAAGCGUACCCUCCUCGGAGGGUCUCAGUAAAAUGGUACAACCAACUGUUUAGCAAAAACACAGGGCCCUGCAAAAUCGAAAGAUGACGUAUAGAGCCUGAUACCUGCCCGGUGCUGGAAGGUUAAGGAAGGAUGUUCGCAGCAAUGCAAAGCUUCUGACUGAAGCCCCAGUAAACGGCGGCCGUAACUAUAACGGUCCUAAGGUAGCGAAAUUCCUUGUCGGGUAAGUUCCGACCUGCACGAAUGGUGUAACGAUCUGGGCGCUGUCUCAGCCGUGAGCUCGGUGAAAUUGUAGUAUCGGUGAAGAUGCCGGUUACCCGUCACGGGACGGAAAGACCCCAUGAACCUUCACUACAACUUUGCAUUGAUUUUGAGUUUUUGAUGUGUAGGAUAGUUGGGAGACUUUGAAGUAGUGUCGCCAGGCAUUAUGGAGUCGUCGUUGAAAUACCAACCUUUAAACAUUUAGAAUCUAAUCCCUAACGGGACACAGUGCAUGGUGGGUAGUUUGACUGGGGUGGUCGCCUCCUAAAAAGUAACGGAGGCUUGCAAAGGUUCCCUCAGUACGGUUGGUAAUCGUACAUAGAGCGCAUUAGUAUAAGGGAGCUUGACUGUGAGACACACAAGUCGAUCAGGUACGAAAGUAGGCUAAAGUGAUCCGGUGAUUCUGUAUGGAAGGGUCAUCGCUCAAAGGAUAAAAGGUACUCUGGGGAUAACAGGCUGAUCUUACCCAAGAGCUCAUAUCGACGGUAAGGUUUGGCACCUCGAUGUCGGUUCGUCACAUCCUGGGGCUGGAGAAGGUCCCAAGGGUUCGGCUGUUCGCCGAUUAAAGUGGCACGUGAACUGGGUUCAGAACGUCGCAAGACAGUUCGGUCCCUAUCUGUGAUGGGCGCUAGUAAAUUGAGAGGACAUGACUUUAGUACGAGAGGACCGAGUCGUAUGUACCGCUGGUGUAUCUGUUGUGCCGCCAGGUGCAAUGCAGAGUAGCUACGUACAGCAAGGAUAAACGCUGAAAGCAUCUAAGCGUGAAACCUUCCUCAAGAUGAGUUUACUUUUAAGGACCCCCGAAGACUACGGGGUUGAUAGGCUACAGGUAUAAGGGUGGUAACAUCGAAGCCGAGUAGUACUAAUUGUCCGUAAGCUUUAUUU